rnacentral:rRNA from 1 species
GAUGAACGCUGGCGGCGUGCCUAAUACAUGCAAGUCGAGCGAAUGGAUUAAGAGCUUGCUCUUAUGAAGUUAGCGGCGGACGGGUGAGUAACACGUGGGUAACCUGCCCAUAAGACUGGGAUAACUCCGGGAAACCGGGGCUAAUACCGGAUAACAUUUUGAACCGCAUGGUUCGAAAUUGAAAGGCGGCUUCGGCUGUCAGUUAUGGAUGGACCCGGGUCGCAUUAGCUAGUUGGUGAGGUAACGGCUCACCAAGGCAACGAUGCGUAGCCGACCUGAGAGGGUGAUCGGCCACACUGGGACUGAGAAACGGCCCAGACUCCUACGGGAGGCAGCAGUAGGGAAUCUUCCGCAAUGGACGAAAGUCUGACGGAGCAACGCCGCGUGAGUGAUGAAGGCUUUCGGGUCGUAAAACUCUGUUGUUAGGGAAGAACAAGUGCUAGUUGAAUAAGCUGGCACCUUGACGGUACCUAACCAGAAAGCCACGGCUGACUACGUGCCAGCCGCCGCAGUAA